CAAACCAGUUAGGGCGAUUUGCCUCUUUUUAAAGUGAAGAGGACUGAGUUCUGGCACAUGGGUUUAUCGGAGUCAAAUCUCUUGCCAUGUUUACCUCCCAGGGGAUGACCCAGCCGACUGCGUGGGGCAGGGGCUGGCCUCUCCCACCACUCCUGUCCCUCAUGGGUAACCAGCCAUGACAGCACCAUGCACGCAGGGCCCCGUCUCCCCAGCGCCCCGUGGGACCUGGCACGUGGUGGGCACGCCAAUGUCUUUUGGAUGAAUGACUCCCAGGGACCAGGAGUUGUGGGUCCUGGACCCAGCCCUUGCCCAGUGCUCUGGCCCCACAUCCUCAGUGGCACCCGCUGAGGGCCUGACAUCUGGUGUUGGCUUCCAACUGUGCCCCUUCCAGCUCGUUACCAUUAAUGUUUGGGGACACCCAGCAUACGGCAGAUGCCAUUAGAAAAGCAAAUUCUGUUCUGUCAGGAAGCGAAGCUAACAGAGCACAAAGCAGGUUAGGAGGGGAAGAUUGAUGAGCCAAAGCCCCUGGAAAACAAAUGAGGGAAGUUUUCUUUACCAGAUAACUUUUAUUUAUUACACUUGCUUUUUGUUAAAGACACAGACACCCUGCCGGUCUCUGGACCCAGGGCUGGAGAGAUGUGCUGCUGGGACUGGGAAGGAUUUGUCCAGACUCCAGACUCCAUGAAGAGGAAAUAUGAAUUGGACCUCAACCUUCCCCCAGAGCAGAGACACCUCUCGGCCAGAUCCCUGGGCACGCUCUCAGCAUCCUCCUUCAACCCUCCACCCCGAUCUGAGCACCCCCCAAGGCCAGGCCAGCCCCCGGAAGCCCUGGGACAGUCAACAAAUCUUCCUCCCAAUUUCAUAGAUUCAGGGCCAACAACAAGAUGCUUGCACAAUGCAAAAGGCAUAAAAUGUUCAGAUUUAUUGCUUUGAGAGUUUGGUUUGUCUCCUGGGCCUGGUUGACGCAGCUUCCUUCAGGUUUCAGAGCAUUUUGUUUAAAAAAAAAAAAAGAAUUUUGA